GCCCUGUGAUGAGACCAAGGCGAAUACGAGCUUACUGAAUGAGAGUUGGGUUCCUCUUGCCUUGACUGGCAGGUAAUCUUGGCAGUGCAGAGGAGGAUUCCUGCUCUGCUGUAAGGGCCUGCCUACAGUGACUUGGCUCGACCCAAAUUAUUCCUCUGCAGUCACAGUGGAGUAAUUUCUGGGUUGUUGCUGACAGCGUGUGUCUUAUGUCUGUGUGUGUUUGUGUGCUGAAUGUGUGUGUGUGCAAAAGGCAAGAAGUUCACCCAGCUUUCUUUUACUGUUCAGUGAGCCAUGAGUUUUGUCUUUGGUAAUCUGAGGGCU
ensembl:snoRNA small nucleolar RNA U85